rnacentral:tRNA from 1 species
GAUAGAAUGGCUGAUAAUAGGCGGUAAAUUGUAAAUUUAUUUAUGAAUUAAAAUUCUUCUGUCA